rnacentral:SRP_RNA from 1 species
CCGUGCUAGAUGGGGAGGUAGCGGUGCCCUGUAACUCGCAAUCCGCUACAGCGAGGUUGAAUUCCUAUUAGAGGUUAUGUCGAUGUGGGGUCUGGCGGUUAGGAACAGUGUUGACGGACGGGUCCUCCGCAAUGGACACCUGUGAACCCGGUCAGGUCCGGAAGGAAGCAGCCGUAAGCAGGUUCGUUCAUGUGCCGGAGGAGUGCCUGUCCCGAGCUGGGAAUAACCAUGCCGCCCGGAUCGCAUAUAUCGAAGAUAGGUGCACGG